ACUCCUACGGGAGGCAGCAGUGGGGAAUUUUGGACAAUGGGCGAAAGCCUGAUCCAGCAAUGCCGCGUGUGUGAAGAAGGCCUUCGGGUUGUAAAGCACUUUUGUCCGGAAAGAAAUCCUUGCUCUAAUACAGCCGGGGAUGACGGUACCGGAAGAAUAAGCACCGGCUAACUACGUGCCAGCAGCCGCGGUAAUACGUAGGGUGCAAGCGUUAAUCGGAAUUACUGGGCGUAAAGCGUGCGCAGGCGGUUUGCUAAGACCGAUGUGAAAUCCCCGGGCUCAACCUGGGAACUGCAUUGGUGACUGGGCAGGCUAGAGUAUGGCAGAGGGGGUAGAAUUCCACGUGUAGCAGUGAAAUGCGUAGAGAUGUGGAGGAAUACCGAUGGCGAAGGCAGCCCCUGGGCCAAUACUGACGCUCAUGCACGAAAGCGUGGGGAGC
rnacentral:rRNA from 1 species